GUGUAGCCGGCGCACCAGCCGUGGUCUUGUGGGCCUGUGACAAGAUAUUCACAGAUGGCUACAGGUGAAAGACGCCUGGUUUCUGUGUCUGCAUCCAGACUUUCUAUGACCAGCAUUCUGUAGUUGAGCCCAAAACACUUGUAGCUCUGCCAGGUGCUCAUUGAAGCUACCACUGAAUCUGUAC